rnacentral:tRNA from 1 species
GGAGUUUUGGCUGAGCGGUAAAGCAUAGGCUUGCUAAGCCUAAAGAUUAAAUAAUAAAAUCUGAUAAGUUCGAUUCUUAUAAACUCCG